UUCGGAGGUGAGUAUACCAGCGAAAUGGUGAGUAACAGCUAGUCAACGUGCCCUCGGGACCGGGAUAAUGGGUGGAGGCGGGUUGUAAUACCGGAUGAGACCACGUCGUCCACGGGCGAUGGGGUCAAAGUCGUGGGACCCUUCGGGGCCACGAGCCCGGGGAGCGGACUAGCCCCGAUUAGCUUGAUGGUGGGGUAACGGCCCACCAUGGCGAUGAUCGGUAGCCGGCCUGAGAGGGUGUUCGGCCACACUGGGACUGAGAGGGUGCCCAGACUCCUACGGGAGUGCUGCAGUCGCGAAUCAUUCACAAUGGACGCAAGUCUGAUGAUGCCACGCCGCGCGUAGGAUGAAGGCCCUAGGGUUGUAAACUACUGUCAAGCGAGGGGAACCUUCACGAUACAAGAUGUCGUGGACUGACUGCUCGCUAGAGGAAGUGUCCGGCUAAACACGUGCCAGCAGCCGCGGUAAUACGUGUGGACCAAGCGUUGUUCGGAAUUACUGGGCUUAAAGGGUGCGUAGGCGGCCUGGCAAGUCAGUGGUGAAAGUCCGCCGCCCAACGGUGGAAUUGCCAUUGAUACUGCCUGGCUCGAGUGUGCUAGGGGGAUGCGGAACGAGUGGUGUAGCGGUGAAAUGCGUAGAUAUCACUCGGAAGGCCGGAGGCGAAGGCGGCAUCCAGGGGCACAACUG
rnacentral:rRNA from 1 species